rnacentral:rRNA from 1 species
AACGAACGCUGGCGGCGUGCCUAACACAUGCAAGUCGAACGGAAUUAGAGAGCUUGCUCUUUGAUUUAGUGGCGCACGGGUGAGUAACGCGUAGAUAAUCUGCCUGACGAUCUGGGAUAACACUUCGAAAGAGGUGCUAAUACCGGAUAAGCCCACGGGUUCUUUGGAAUCUGCGGGAAAAGGGGGGGACCUUCGGGCCUUCUGUCGUCAGAUGAGUCUGCGUACCAUUAGCUAGUUGGUAGGGUAAAGGCCUACCAAGGCGACGAUGGUUAGCUGGUCUGAGAGGAUGAUCAGCCACACUGGAACUGAGACACGGUCCAGACUCCUACGGGAGGCAGCAGUGGGGAAGUUUGCGCAAUGGGCGAAAGCCUGACGCAGCAACGCCGCGUGAGUGAUGAAGGCUUUCGGGUCGUAAAGCUCUGUCAAUGGGAAAGAAGUGUAUUUUGGCUAAUAUCCUUAAUACUUGACGGUACCCAUAAAGGAAGCACCGGCUAACUCCGUGCCAGCAGCCGCAGUAAUAC